UACGUAGGUGGCAAGCGUUGUCCGGAUUUAUUGGGUUUAAAGGGUGCGUAGGCGGUUCCAUAAGUCAGUGGUGAAAUACGGCAGCUCAACUGUCGAGGUGCCAUUGAUACUGCGGAACUUGAGUACUGAUGAGGUAGGCGGAAUUGACGGUGUAGCGGUGAAAUGCUUAGAUAUCGUCAAGAACACCGAUAGCGAAGGCAGCUUACCAAGGAGUAACUGACGCUGAGGCACGAAAGUGCGGGGAUCAAACAGG
rnacentral:rRNA from 1 species